AGCCUGAACGCUGGCGGCGUGGUUAAGACAUGCAAGUCGCACGGAGCCGUAGCAAUACGGUUCAGUGGCGCACGGGUGAGUAAUGAAUCGCUAACGUGCCCCGGACUCUGGGAUAGCCGCCCGAAAGGACGGGUAAUACCAGAUGAGACCCCGAUCCCGCAUGGGAUUGUGCUCAAAGGUCCGCC
rnacentral:rRNA from 1 species